rnacentral:rRNA from 1 species
CGGAUCUCAGAUCAAGCAAGAGGACCCGCCGAAUUUAAGCAUAUAAUUAAGCGGAGGAAAAGAAACUAACUAGGAUUCCCUCAGUAACGGCGAGUGAAGCGGGACUAGCUCAGGAUGUGAAUCUGCGCUUUUAUGGCGCCGAAUUGUGGUCUGUAGACUUUGACAUUAUUUGCCGGGCCAAGUUCCUUGGAAAAGGACAGCUGAGAGGGUGACACUCCCGUCCGCCUGGUAAAGUGAGUCAUUUGUCAACGAGUCGAGUUGUUUGGGAUUGCAGCUCUAAUUUGGUGGUAAAUUCCAUCUAAAGCUAAAUAUUGGUGGGAGACCGAUAGCGUACAAAGUCCCGUGAGGGAAAGAUGCAAAGAACUUUGAAAAGAGAGUUAAAGAGUACCUGAAACUGCUGAAACGGAAGCGAAGGAAACCAGUGUUUGUUUGUUCAUAUUUCCCUGGCCACUUGUGGCCUGGGCGCUGUGGACUUGCGUGAGUUUGGGUUGGUU